rnacentral:tRNA from 1 species
ACGGCGAUGGUGUAAUAGGCAAACACGCCUAAUAAAAUUUAUUGGUUGAGUAGUGCAGGUUCGAAUCCUGCCGCCGAA